rnacentral:sRNA from 1 species
UUUGCAGAUUUGUGUGAAGUGGAAGUUUACGGCUGUCCUGCCCCAGUCGUCGAAUUUCCGCAGUGCAGUCGUAAUUGUCCUGCAAACUGUGAACAGUGCUAUCCAGGAACAGGGGUCUGCAAAAAAUGUCAUGAAGGGUACACAGGCAUGGCGUGUGAACUCGUGUGCCAUGCUGCUGCGACCAUAACAGUAUCCCCAAGCUCUGCAGUUACUGGUACUAAUAACGAAGCCAUAUAUUCAGCCGGAGGGCUAACACUACCGUCUGACGGAGAGCUCCAUGUGGCGUCUAUCUAUCUUUCUUUGUCAGAACAGUCUUCUGAUUUGUCCUACUUGUAUAUGUCCAUUGUUAAUGCGGUCAAAUUCAGUGUGUUGUUUUUGUCGGACGGGACGGGGUACACUGAGGUAGGGUUGUAUACACCUUGUUCUUUAUUGUUUUACCUUUCGAUUUUGUGAGCUAUUUUUACUAGUUGAUAUCGUGUUUUACUUUAUGACUUUAAUCAGUUGGAUAUAUUAAGUUUUCAUCAUACUUCCUCACAUUCUUGUGAACAAAAUAGCACCCAUUUAUGGUGACGUGACGAUUAUUUCUAUGUAAUAAACAAAAUUGUGUUUUUUAAAUAAUAAACGAUUGAUUCUAUGUAAUAAAUAAAGUUAUGUUUUUUUUAAAUAAACAUAUACAAUGAAUUUGUAACAAUUAAGUAUUCGUCUUUUCAUUUUUUUCAUUUUUAAUCGGUUAUUCUGUGUAUAUUACCCCACGCAGUAAAACUACAUGCGGAGUUUUACGAGUUUACUUUGUAAUAUGUAUAAUAAUUUGUUAGUAAUACCUUCUGAAAUAUUCACCGUUAUUUUGUGUCUUAUUUGCAGUUUGAUCGGGCGGUCGUAGGUCCCUUCCGUGCACGGUUCACUGCACGUGCGAAAUUCAACUCUAAAACUCAUGCAAUCCGCAUAAAAGUUCAAUACAAACAGUCAUUAACCAUAUCCGAUCUAAAACUUCAUUUACGAACAUGUUAUCUAAAUACGACGAAUAGCCAUGAGCUGAAUUAAGGAGAAAUUCGACAACUUAAUCUGAAGAACAGCAACAAUGUUAUAUGGAAAUACGCUGUGAAGAAUUAUAAAAACUAACAU